rnacentral:lncRNA from 1 species
CGCUUCAACAUCUCCAAUGGCGUGAAACAAGGCUGUGGUCCUCACUCCGGUACUAUUCAACCUAUACUUCACCCAAGUAUUACGACAUGCUGUGAUGGAUCUAGAUCUGGGCGUCUACAUCAAAUACCGACUGGAUGGCUCACUAUUCGACCUUUGCCGCCUGACUGCAAAAACAAAGACAACAGAGAGACUCAUCCUGGAAGCUCUCUUUGCAGAUGACUGUGCUCUCAUGGCCCACCAAGAAAAUCAUCUCCAAACCAUUGUGGACAGGUUCUCCACUGCAACAAAACUGUUUGGCCUGACUAUCAGCCUCAGCAAAACAGAGGUGCUGUUCCAACCUGCACCAGGGAGGCCAACGAACCAACCGUGCAUUACAAUCGAUGGCACGCAGCUUUCUAAUGUCAACACCUUCAAGUACCUGGGCAGCACCAUCGCCAACGAUGGGUCCCUAGACCAUGAGAUCAAUGCCAGGAUCCAAAAGGCCAGCCAGGCACUCGGGCGGCUGCGCUCCAAAGUCCUCCAACACAGCGGUGUAAGCACUGCGACGAAGCUCAAAGUGUACAACGCAGCGGUCCUCAGCUCGCUCCUGUACGGUUGUGAGACAUGGACACUAUACCGGAAGCACAUGAAACAGCUGGAGCAAUUCCACCAACACUCCCUCCGGUCAAUCAUGAGGAUCCGAUGGCAGGACCGAAUCACCAAUCAGGAAGUCCUUGACAGAACCAACUCCACCAGCAUGGAAGUCCUGGUCCUCCAAACCCAGCUACGAUGGUCUGGACAUGUCAUCCACGUGGACCCACAGCGAAUACUAAGACAGGUAUUCUAUGGUGAACUGUCAACUGGACUCAGGAAACAAGGCCAACCAAAGAGAAGAUUCAAGGAUCAGCUAAAGUCCAACUUGAAGUGGGCUGGCAUCACACCAAAGCAACUAGAACUCGCUGCCUCUGGCAGAAGCAGCUGGCGAACCCACAUUCACCAUUCCGCCACCACCUUUGAAGAUGAGCGAUGUCGACGUCUUGCCGCUGCGCGUGAAUGCCGACACCAGGCCACAGCCGCACCUCCCAUAACAACUGGCGUCCCAUGCCCCAUGUGUCACAAACUCUGCGCCUCAGCCUUUGGACUCCAAAGCCACAUGAGGGUACAUCAAUAGAUGAUAAUGCACAAAGACAAUAGUCAUUCUCGAUCACCGAGAGACUACUAUAUAGUGAGAGAG